rnacentral:rRNA from 1 species
UUUGAUGGCGACCGGCGCACGGGUGAGUAACACGUAUCCAACCUGCCGAUGACUCGGGGAUAGCCUUUCGAAAGAAAGAUUAAUACCCGAUGGCAUAGUUCUUCCGCAUGGUAGAACUAUUAAAGAAUUUCGGUCAUCGAUGGGGAUGCGUUCCAUUAGGUUGUUGGCGGGGUAACGGCCCGCCAAGCCUUCGAUGGAUAGGGGUUCUGAGAGGAAGGUCCCCCACAUUGGAACUGAGACACGGUCCAA